rnacentral:sRNA from 1 species
AAAAACAGAUAAUGAAA